UGUGCUUGAGAGGCCAGGAGAAGCAGGGAGGGAACAAGAGGACAGCACCUGCCUAGAAGAAAGCCACAGCUCCAGCAAUGGUGAUCUGUGAGUCCAGCUGCAGGAGGAAGUUAAGUGACUUGCCUGGAGACACACAGGACGGAGUCAAGAAGGUAGCCCUGCUUUGGAUCACAAAGCCCAGCACUUUGCGUGUGCAGCUUCUAGAUUGUUGCUGUGUCCAGAGUCCUUGGCCUCUGCUUACCAGUGUGUAGGAAGAACUCCUCAGUCCGUCAAGCAGAAAUAACGAAGCAGAGGGCUCCGUCCUUCACCCGGUCCGAGUCCAAGAGGGGAAAAAUAUAUCUUGCUCACUCGGCCUUGCAGAGGAGGUCAGUGCAGGGGCAAUCCUGUGUCAGACCAGCGCUUCCUUUUGUCCCAACCCCCAGCACUUCAGGCCAGACCCGCUGACAUUCGACAGCGCCUGCAGUUUACCUUGGCUCCGUUCCAGUGAGUUUGAGCCCAGCCCUGGGGCGGCCCCCACCUCUCCACCUUGUUACGCCUUCCCACCCUCCUCUGCAGCGCAAAGAGCAGUUUAAAUAUAAAUCAGUCCUCAGCACAAACAGAGCUUGGGCGGCGAGUCUCAGAGCCAUCACCGGAACCGAGGGCCCAGGUUUGCGGAGC
ensembl:lncRNA